rnacentral:rRNA from 1 species
CAUUAAUAAAAGGAUACCUUCGGGUAUACCCCAUCCGUGUCUAUCUACUCUUGUUGCUUUGGCAGGCCGUGGUCUCCCACUGUGGGCUCUGCCUGCAUGUGCCUGCCAGAGGACCAAACUCUGAAUUUUAGUGAUGUCUGAGUACUAUAUAAUAGUUAAAACUUUCAACAACGGAUCUCUUGGUUCUGGCAUCGAUGAAGAACGCAGCGAAAUGCGAUAAGUAAUGUGAAUUGCAGAAUUCAGUGAAUCAUCGAAUCUUUGAACGCACAUUGCACCCGGUGGUAUUCCGCCGGGUAUGCCUGUUCGAGCGUCUGUAGAACAACACCAAGACCAAGCUUUAGGCUUGAUUUUGAGGUUGCGGCUUCGGCUGCAGCCUUUAAGAGAGGUGGCGGCGUCCGAUGGACUCUAAGCGUAGUAAUUUCUCCUCGCUACAGAGUCUGCCGGCGCAUUUGGUACUCACUCCAAGCCAACCAAACCCCCCCAAUUUUAGUUUGACCUCGGAUCAAGUAGGGAUACCCGCUGAACUUAAGCAUAUCAAUAAGCGGAGGAAAAGAAACCAACAGGGAUUACCUCAGUAACGGCGAGUGAAGCGGUAAGAGCUCAAAUUUGAAAGCUGCCAACAGGCCGCAUUGUAAUUUGUAGAAGAUGCUUUGGGUGUUGGCCUAGUCUAAGUUCCUUGGAACAGGACGUCAUAGAGGGUGAGAAUCCCGUAUGUGAUUAGUGCCAUCCCCCGUGUAAAGCUCUUUCGACGAGUCGAGUUGUUUGGGAAUGCAGCUCAAAAUGGGUGGUAAAUUUCAUCUAAAGCUAAAUAUUGGCCAGAGACCGAUAGCGCACAAGUAGAGUGAUCGAAAGAUGAAAAGCACUUUGGAAAGAGAGUUAAAUAGUACGUGAAAUUGUUGAAAGGGAAGCGCUUGCAAUCAGACUUGCAGGCGGUUGAUCAUCCGAGGUUCUCCCCGGUGCACUCGAUCGUCUUCAGGCCAGCAUCGGUUUCAGUGGUGGGAUAAAGGCUGUGAGAAUGUGGCUCUUCGGAGUGUUAUAGCUCACGGUGCAAUGCCGCCUACUGGGACCGAGGACCGCGCUUCGGCUAGGA